UCUCGAACUGUCCCAGUGCAACGAAGGC
rnacentral:piRNA from 1 species